rnacentral:rRNA from 1 species
AUUGAACGCUGGCGGCAUGCCUUACACAUGCAAGUCGAACGGUAACAGGUCUUCGGUUGCUGACGAGUGGCGAACGGGUGCGUAAUACAUCGGAACGUGCCCAGACGUGGGGGAUAACGAGGCGAAAGCUUUGCUAAUACCUCAUACGAUCUAAGGAUGAAAGCAGGGGACCGCAAGGCCUUGCGCGUCUGGAGCGGCCGAUGGCAGAUUAGGUAGUUGGUGGGAUAAAAGCUUACCAAGCCGACGAUCUGUAGCUGGUCUGAGAGGACGACCAGCCACACUGGAACUGAGACACGGCCCAGACUCCUACGGGAGGCAGCAGUGGGGAAUUUUGGACAAUGGGCGAAAGCCUGAUCCAGCAAUGCCGCGUGCAGGAUGAAGGCCUUCGGGUUGUAAACUGCUUUUGUACGGAACGAAAAGGCUCUGGCUAAUACCUGGGGAACAUGACGGUACCGUAAGAAUAAGCACCGGCUAACUACGUG